UGUGAGCGAGGCUGCAGGCUUUCUGGGCCACUCGGCUCCGCUCCGCAGUUCAAGAUGCGCGACGGGAGGGGCACUGUGCGGGCUCCGGUACUCCAGUUCACCAACUGCCGUAUCCUGCGGGGUCGGAGGCUGCUCAGGUGGGAGGAUCUGUGGGUGCGGGAGGGCCACAUUGUGGACCCAGAGAAGCUGUUCUUUGAGGAGCGGCUCGUGGCCGACCAGCAGCGGGACUGCGGAGGCUGCAUCCUGGCGCCUGGCUUCAUUGAUGUGCAGAUCAAUGGUGGAUUUGGCGUUGACUUUUCUCAGGCCACAGAGGACGUGAGUUCGGGAGUGGCUCUGGUGGCCCAGAGGAUCCUAUCGCAUGGAGUCACCUCCUUCUGUCCCACCUUAGUCACCUCACCACCUGAGAUUUAUCACAAGGUCCUUCCUCAGAUCCCAGUGAAGAGUGGUGGUCCCCAUGGGGCAGGGGUCCUCGGGGUGCACCUGGAGGGCCCAUUUAUCAGCCGGGAGAAGCGAGGUGCACACCCUGAGGCCCACCUGCGCUCUUACGAGGCCAAUGCCUUCCAUGAUGUUCUGGCCACUUACGGGUCCCUGGACAACGUUCGCAUCGUGACACUGGCUCCUGAGCUCGGCCGCAGCCAUGAGGUGAUCCAGGCACUGACGGCCCGUGGCAUCUGUGUGUCCCUAGGGCACUCGGUGGCCAACCUGAGGGUCGCAGAGGAAGCCGUGCAGAGCGGCGCCACCUUCAUCACCCAUCUCUUCAAUGCCAUGCUGCCUUUCCACCACCGUGACCCGGGUAUUGUGGGCCUCCUGACCAGUGACCGGCUGCCUCCAGGUCGCCACAUCUUCUACGGGAUGAUCUCCGACGGCAUGCACACCAACCCUGCUGCCCUGCGCAUUGCCCACCGGGCCCACCCCCAGGGGAUGGUGCUGGUCACUGACGCUGUCCCUGCCCUGGGCUUGGGCAAUGGCCGUCACACGCUGGGGCAGCAGGAAGUGGAGGUAGAUGGGCUGACGGCCUAUGUGGCAGGCACGAAGACACUGAGCGGCAGCAUAGCCCCGAUGGACGUCUGUGUUCGGCAUUUCCUACAGGCCACAGGCUGCAGUGUGGAGUCCGCCCUGGAGGCUGCGUCACUGCACCCUGCCCAGCUGCUAGGACUGGAGAAGCACAAGGGAACCCUGGACUUUGGGGCCGAUGCAGACUUUGUGAUGCUUGACGACUCCCUCCACGUCCGGGCCACCUACAUCUCGGGCGAGUUGGUGUGGCAGGCAGAGGAGGCCCGGCAGUAGCCAAGGACUACAGUUGAAAAGGACACCCAGCCCCAUCUGGACACUGUCAGUGCUGGGCCAUCUAGGAGCUGGUCUCCGGGGAGUGAGUAGGAACCCUGCCUCAGGUGGAUGGCCUUGGCCCUGGAGGCAGCUGGCUUGGAUAAACUGUGUACCCCACCGGACUUGCCUGGUCUCUGAGUUUUGCUUCAAAGUGGGCUUCUUGCUGUUUCCACUGUCACCCUGAUGGUCCUCCUGGGGGCUGGGGGGUGUUUGUGGCUUAAGGUUGUGAGUGGCUGUACUCCAGCUCAGCUCAGCCCUGUGAGGAGGCUUUGUGGGGUCCACGAAAGUGAUGGGAGGGCCCCUUUGUGUUGCAAGGUUGUGUCUGAGGUCUGCAGACCUGCAGGCAAAUGCGUCAUUUGGAAAUGAAUGAAGACUGGAAUGGGGAAGCCACGGGUGAUAGGUUGAAAAGCUGAAAGCUGGCAGGAACGGGCUUGGGGACUAUGAAUAUAGACAACUUCAGAAGUUUGCUUAUUGUGUGGGCUGAGGGAAAAGAUCCAUCUUGGAAUUUUAAACAGGGAAGCAUUGAUCAUGGAGACAAAUUAAGAGAUGGGCAGGGAAGGGCCUCAGGUAGGCACUGCAGAGGUUUGGGAGACCAGGUGUAUGUGAGUGUCCUGUGAUCUCGCUCUUUACACUGGAGUUGUGCAGGGCCUGGGCACACCCCCCAGCAACUGCUCCCCUACCUUCAGAGGAAUCCGCGCUGGCUCUGGGACCCCAGGCUGCUCAGUUGGGUGCAGAGGGCAUGGCUGAAGGGUGCCUGAGCUGGCCGUAGCCUGCCUGGCCCCAUUCCACCUUCAUGAGCUCUCGGAUCACUCAGGCUCCAGCUCUUCUGGUGUCUUUUCUGAACAACCCUAUCUCCUGCUCCUGCUCCCAGGAGGGUGUGAUGAGCCAUCCUGUGCUUUGGUGUUUGCGCAGCUGUGGGCGAGCCUGCCUGUGUUGGUGGGCAGUUCGUGCUCACCAGUGUCCUGUGCCCUGUAGCAGGAGUCCACCUCUGAGUCGUCUUGGCCCUGGCAGAGGUCCCCGGGAGAGGGCAGGUUAGAAGGUGAGCAGUGGUUGUCAGCUUUGUGGUGCCAGGCCUUGUCCUAGUGAUCUGUGGGUAUUCACUUGCUCCGUUUGCCUGCCAAAAAUUUAGAGGCAUGUCCUGUUUGUUGUCUGGGGCACUGAGUCCCAGAGCAGCAAUAGCCCCUGGAGGUGAUGGCCAGGCCUCAGCUGGGUUUCAGCUCCAGACUCAGAAGCGGGCUGCAAUGACUAAUGACCCUCUGCCCUGGUGCUAACCAGUCAGUGAUCACAACCCUGAGGAGCUACUGCUGGAAAGCUGAUGCAUAUCCUGAGAUCCACUCCUGAGACCUGCAUAUAAAAGCCCUCACUACUGAGGCCCCAUAGCAGUUCCAUGGAGCACCCCCAAGCCUUUCCCUGUCCCCUUCCCCCAUGCGUGUUUUCCUUGCCUCUCUCCUAAGCAACAAGGGCCCUUAUUUUGCCUCUGUGAUUUGUUCCUGAGCCCAUUUUUUCUGUGGCUCACUUCUACCUCUGAUUUUCUAAAUAAACUUUCUCUGA